AGGGCUAUAGCUCAGUUGGUAGAGCAGGAAAAAGGAGCUUUGUCAAAAGCUCUUGCAGCAACUUUACAAUGGACUGUCACUCCCCUUGUCGUUGGUUCGAAUCCAACUAGCCCUG
rnacentral:tRNA from 1 species